rnacentral:rRNA from 1 species
UACGUAGGGGGCUAGCGUUGUUCGGAAUUACUGGGCGUAAAGCGUGCGUAGACGGUUACGUAAGUCGGGUGUGAAAGCCCCGGGCUCAACCUGGGAAUUGCAUUCGAGACUGUGUAGCUAGGGUGCGGAAGAGGGAAGCGGAAUUUCCGGUGUAGCGGUGAAAUGCGUAGAUAUCGAGAGGAACACCUGCGGCGAAGGCGGGUAGCUGGGCCGACACUGACGCUGAAGCGCGAAAGCCAGGGGAGCGAACGGG